rnacentral:rRNA from 1 species
CAUGCAAGUCGUGGGGAAACGGCAUUAUGUGCUUGCACAUUCUGGACGUCGACCGGCGCACGGGUGAGUAUCGCGUAUCCAACCUGCCCCUUACUUGGGGAUACCCCGUUGAAAGACGGCCUAAUACCCGAUGUGUUUCAUUGACGGCAUCCGAUAUGAAACAAAGGUUUUUCCGGUAAGGGAUGGGGAUGCGUCUGAUUAGCUAGUUGGCGGGGCAACGGCCCACCAAGGCGACGAUCAGUAGGGGUUCUGAGAGGAAGGUCCCCCACAUUGGAACUGAGACACGGUCCAAACUCCUACGGGAGGCAGCAGUGAGGAAUAUUGGUCAAUGGACGCAAGUCUGAACCAGCCAAGUAGCGUGCAGGAUGACGGCCCUAUGGGUUGUAAACUGCUUUUAUGUGGGAAUAAAGUGGCGCACGUGUGCGCCAUUGCAUGUACCUCAUGAAUAAGGACCGGCUAAUUCCGUGCCAGCAGCCGCGGUAAUACGGAAGGUCCGGGCGUUAUCCGGAUUUAUUGGGUUUAAAGGGAGUGUAGGCGGUCUGUUAAGCGUGUUGUGAAAUUUAGGUGCUCAACAUUUAACUUGCAGCGCGAACUGUCAGACUUGAGUACACGCAGCGCAGGCGGAAUUCAUGGUGUAGCGGUGAAAUGCUUAGAUAUCAUGAGGAACUCCGAUCGCGAAGGCAGCCUGCGGGAGUGUUACUGACGCUUAAGCUCGAAGGUGCGGGUAUCGAACAGGAUUAGAUACCCUGGUAGUCCGCACGGUAAACGAUGGAUGCCCGCCGUUGGCGCCCUGCGCCUGCGGCCAAGCGAAAGCAUUAAGCAUCC